GACGAACGCUGGCGGCAUGCCUAACACAUGCAAGUCGAACGAGACCUUCGGGUCUAGUGGCGCACGGGUGCGUAACGCGUGGGAACCUGUCCUUAGGUUCGGAAUAACUCCCCGAAAGGGGUGCUAAUACCGGAUAAUGUCUUCGGACCAAAGAUUUAUCGCCUUUGGAUGGGCCCGCGUUGGAUUAGCUAGUUGGUAGGGUAAAAGCCUACCAAGGCGACGAUCCAUAGCUGGUCUGAGAGGAUGAUCAGCCACACUGGGACUGAGACACGGCCCAGACUCCUACGGGAGGCAGCAGUGGGGAAUAUUGGACAAUGGGCGAAAGCCUGAUCCAGCAAUGCCGCGUGAGUGAUGAAGGCCUUAGGGUUGUAAAGCUCUUUUACCCGGGAUGAUAAUGACAGUACCGGGAGAAUAAGCUCCGGCUAACUCCGUG
rnacentral:rRNA from 1 species